UCCUGCAGUCCCUGUCCCCUCCUCAGCCCCUUACUCAGCCCCUGUCCCCUACCUUAGCUCCUGUCCCCUUAGUCAGCCCCUGUCACCUUACUCAGCCCCUGUCACCCCUCCUCAGCCCUUUCCCAAAUUGUAGCCAUCAACCUACUUCAACCCCUAUCCCCCCCUACAUUUCCUAAACCCCCAAUUACAGCGUAUACCCUCCAGUACAGCCCCUGUUCCCCCACUACAGCCCUGUCCCCUUACUCAGCCCUGUCUACUGGUUUUAAAAGUGUAAAGUUUGGGUGUAUGUCUGUGUGUCUGUGUAUGUGUCAGUAUGUGUGUGUGUGUGUGUGUGUGUGUGUGUGUGCGCCAGUAUGUCUGUCUGUGUGUGUGCCAGUAUAUCUGUCUAUGUGUGUGCAAGUAUGUCUCUGUGUGUGUGCCAGUUUGUCUGUGUGUGUGUCAGUAUGCCUGUGUGUGUGUCAGUAUGCCUGUGUGUGUGUCAGUAUGUCUGUCUGUGUGUGUGCAAGUAUGUCUCUGUGUGUGUGCCAGUUUGUCUUUGUGUGUGUGUGUGUCAGCCAGUAUGCCUGUGUGUGUGUGUCAGUCAGGGCGUAUUAGCCGCGAGGCAAACAAGGCAUUUGCCUUGGGCGACAUUUUUC